CUUCCGGCUGUGUGCGAGGCGGCCGCACACGCUUCCGGAGUUCAGGGCUGGACCCGUCCCUUCCGGCCCGGUCCGGUCCGGUCCGGCAGAGCCCGAGGAGCGCGGCUGCCUCUCCUUGCGGGACGCAAAGGGACACGCGGAGUUGAAGUGUGGCGGCUUCCUGAGCUCCUGCUGUUCUUUUUCCCCAUGAAGAUCCAUGAGACACUCCUCAGGAUCACCUAAGUGGGUCGGAGCAUCCUGAGCACUAGGUCAUGGUGGAGACGCCAGAAUGAGAAGGCGCAAGAGUUCUGGUCCUCGUCGACCAGCCGCCCGGGUGACCUGUGGUAGGCCCAGGACAGGGACCCCUGUGCCCACGGUGCCUCCGCUCCCACCACUCCCACCCCACUUUGCCCACAGAGGCCUCCAGCUAAGGUUGGUGUGACCUUUGAGGAUGUCGCCGUGUGCUUCUCCAAGAAGGAAUGGUGCCUCCUUGAUGAGGCUCAGAGACACCUGUACCUCGAAGU